rnacentral:rRNA from 1 species
AGCGGAACGAGUUAUCUGAACCUUCGGGGAACGAUAACGGCGUCGAGCGGCGGACGGGUGAGUAAUGCCUAGGAAAUUGCCCUGAUGUGGGGGAUAACCAUUGGAAACGAUGGCUAAUACCGCAUGAUGCCUACGGGCCAAAGAGGGGGACCUUCGGGCCUCUCGCGUCAGGAUAUGCCUAGGUGGGAUUAGCUAGUUGGUGAGGUAAGGGCUCACCAAGGCGACGAUCCCUAGCUGGUCUGAGAGGAUGAUCAGCCACACUGGAACUGAGACACGGUCCAGACUCCUACGGGAGGCAGCAGUGGGGAAUAUUGCACAAUGGGCGCAAGCCUGAUGCAGCCAUGCCGCGUGUGUGAAGAAGGCCUUCGGGUUGUAAAGCACUUUCAGUCGUGAGGAAGGUGGUGUAGUUAAUAGCUGCAUUAUUUGACGUUAGCGACAGAAGAAGCA